AUUGAACGCUGGCGGCAUGCUUUACACAUGCAAGUCGAACGGUAACAGGUUAAGCUGACGAGUGGCGAACGGGUGAGUAAUGCAUCGGAACGUGCCCGAUCGUGGGGGAUAACGCAGCGAAAGCUGCGCUAAUACCGCAUACGAUCUGAGGAUGAAAGCGGGGGACCGUAAGGCCUAGCGCGAUCGGAGCGGCCGAUGUCAGAUUAGGUAGUUGGUGGGGUAAAGGCUCACCAAGCCAACGAUCUGUAGCUGGCUCUGAGAGGACGACCAGCCACACUGGGACUGAGACACGGCCCAGACUCCUACGGGAGGCAGCAGUGGGGAAUUUUGGACAAUGGGCGAAAGCCUGAUCCAGCAAUGCCGCGUGCAGGAAGAAGGCCUUCGGGUUGUAAACUGCUUUUGUACGGAGCGAAAAGGCUCUCUCUAAUACAGGGGGCUCAUGACGGUACCGUAAGAAUAAGCACCGGCUAACUACGUGCCAGCAGCCGCAGUAA
rnacentral:rRNA from 1 species